ACUCCUACGGGAGGCAGCAGUGGGGAAUAUUGGACAAUGGGGGGAACCCUGAUCCAGCCAUGCCGCGUGUGUGAAGAAGGCCUUAUGGUUGUAAAGCACUUUAAGCGAGGAGGAGGCUACUCUAGUUAAUACCUAGGGAUAGUGGACGUUACUCGCAGAAUAAGCACCGGCUAACUCUGUGCCAGCAGCCGCGGUAAUACAGAGGGUGCGAGCGUUAAUCGGAUUUACUGGGCGUAAAGCGUGCGUAGGCGGCUUAUUAAGUCGGAUGUGAAAUCCCCGAGCUUAACUUGGGAAUUGCAUUCGAUACUGGUGAGCUAGAGUAUGGGAGAGGAUGGUAGAAUUCCAGGUGUAGCGGUGAAAUGCGUAGAGAUCUGGAGGAAUACCGAUGGCGAAGGCAGCCAUCUGGCCUAAUACUGACGCUGAGGUACGAAAGCAUGGGGAGCAAACAGGAUUAGAUACCCUGGUAGCUACGAGU
rnacentral:rRNA from 1 species